CAAGUCGAGCGAACGGACGAGAAGCUUGCUUCUCUGAUGUUAGCGGCGGACGGGUGAGUAACACGUGGAUAACCUACCUAUAAGACUGGGAUAACUUCGGGAAACCGGAGCUAAUACCGGAUAAUAUUUUGAACCGCAUGGUUCAAAAGUGAAAGACGGUCUUGCUGUCACUUAUAGAUGGAUCCGCGCUGCAUUAGCUAGUUGGUAAGGUAACGGCUUACCAAGGCAACGAUGCAUAGCCGACCUGAGAGGGUGAUCGGCCACACUGGAACUGAGACACGGUCCAGACUCCUACGGGAGGCAGCAGUAGGGAAUCUUCCGCAAUGGGCGAAAGCCUGACGGAGCAACGCCGCGUGAGUGAUGAAGGUCUUCGGAUCGUAAAACUCUGUUAUUAGGGAAGAACAUAUGUGUAAGUAACUGUGCACAUCUUGACGGUACCUAAUCAGAAAGCCACGGCUAACUACGUGCCAGCAGCCGCGGUAAUACGUAGGUGGCAAGCGUUAUCCGGAAUUAUUGGGCGUAAAGCGCGCGUAGGCGGUUUUUUAAGUCUGAUGUGAAAGCCCACGGCUCAACCGUGGAGGGUCAUUGGAAACUGGAAAACUUGAGUGCAGAAGAGGAAAGUGGAAUUCCAUGUGUAGCGGUGAAAUGCGCAGAGAUAUGGAGGAACACCAGUGGCGAAGGCGAC
rnacentral:rRNA from 1 species